UACGGAGGGUGCGAGCGUUGUCCGGAAUCACUGGGCGUAAAGGGCGCGUAGGUGGCUUCUCAAGCGCGCGGUGAAAGCCCGGGGCUCAACCCCGGGUCGGCCGUGCGGACUGGGAGGCUCGAGCACUGUAGGGGCGGGUGGAAUUCCGGGUGUAGCGGUGGAAUGCGUAGAUAUCAGGAGGAACACCAAUUGCGAAGGCAGCUCGCUGGGACGUUACUGACGCUGAGACGCGAAAGCGUGGGGAGCAAACAGG
rnacentral:rRNA from 1 species